AAUUCUUUAUUUUCUUCUAUUCUGUAAUAUCAAAAACAUGUGACAUAUGUAUCAAUCUUUAAUUUACAGAAAAUGUGUUAUGAAAGCGAGAGAUAGAGAGAGGGAGGGAGAGAAUAAAUUAAAAAGCUGUUUCAAUAGCCGUGUUUCGAGUUACUCCGGAACACAGUGUUUAUUCUGUGUUUAGUCACGCCGCGUCAAAAAUGUUCCACAGGGUUACUUCCGGUUUAUCGUUGUUUACCUUUGUUUACCAACAGUCGACACUUCGUGUAUUAGGCCUAGGCUUAAUUUUGUCGAUCAUCAUGAAAUUGAAAUACACAUUUAAUAGUUUGGGGUGUAUGCGGUACAUAUUUGUUUAUGAGCGUUUGAUAAGCUACUAUUGAUCUACGAAAUACAACGAAAGACUUCGUCAAGAACAGAAGACGAUGUCGUGUAACUCACACAAGGCCCGGCCCAGCUGUCUAGUAACCGGAGGGGUAAAGGAAAAGAACGUAUUAGACUCACUGAAACCUGUCAAACUGGUUAAUGGGAACAGGAUAAUUUUCCAUGCCUUUCACUUGAGGUCUUCAGUUUCAUCAUUAAUCAUCUGAAUGUCGGUAUGCCAAACUCUCAUGAUGUCAUGCCAUUACUGGAUAUUCCUUAACACUGGUUUAUUUAAACCACACUACCUAUAACAUUGCCAAAUAUUAGACUGAAAAUUUUCAAAUACACAAGAUUUGAAGCAGCAAAAGAAAAGAAUUACAUAUGUAUAACACACAAAAAAGAAGAAAUUAAUUCUCACCUGGCUGAUAUGAACUUUUUACUCCUUUUUAGCUCCCUUUCACUGCAUACCAGCCAAUAACUAGCAGUCAUUAUAUGCAGAUCAGCCAUUGUUAUCAACCUGUGUAUAUAUAUGUUGAAUAAAAUAUGAAUGAAAA